rnacentral:rRNA from 1 species
UGAGACCGGCGCACGGGUGCGUAACGCGUAUGCAAUCUACCUUUUACAGAGGGAUAGCCCAGAGAAAUUUGGAUUAAUACCUCAUAGUAUAGCAGUUUCGCAUGAAACCACUAUUAAAGUCACAACGGUAAAAGAUGAGCAUGCGUCCCAUUAGCUAGUUGGUAAGGUAACGGCUUACCAAGGCUACGAUGGGUAGGGGUCCUGAGAGGGAGAUCCCCCACACUGGUACUGAGACACGGACCAGACUCCUACGGGAGGCAGCAGUGAGGAAUAUUGGACAAUGGGCGCAAGCCUGAUCCAGCCAUGCCGCGUGCAGGAUGACGGUCCUAUGGAUUGUAAACUGCUUUUGUACGAGAAGAAACACUCCUAUGUAUAGGAGCUUGACGGUAUCGUAAGAAUAAGGAUCGGCUAACUCCGUGCCAGCAGCCGCGGUAAUACGGAGGAUCCAAGCGUUAUCCGGAAUCAUUGGGUUUAAAGGGUCCGUAGGCGGUUUAAUAAGUCAGUGGUGAAAGCCCAUCGCUCAACGGUGGAACGGCCAUUGAUACUGUUAAACUUGAAUUAUUAGGAAGUAACUAGAAUAUGUAGUGUAGCGGUGAAAUGCUUAGAGAUUACAUGGAAUACCAAUUGCGAAGGCAGGUUACUACUAAUUGAUUGACGCUGAUGGACGAAAGCGUGGGUAGCGAACAGGAUUAGAUACCCUGGUAGUCCACGCCGUAAACGAUGGAUACUAGCUGUUGGGAGCAAUCUCAGUGGCUA